rnacentral:tRNA from 1 species
GCCCCUGUAGCUCAGUGGUAGAGCGCUUGCAUGGUAAGCAAGAGGUCAAGGGUUCAAUUCCCUUCUGGGGCU